rnacentral:rRNA from 1 species
AGAGUUUUUUCCUGGCUCAGGAUGAACGCUGGCGGCGUGCCUAAUACAUGCAGGUAGAACGCUGAAGCUUGGUGCUUGCACCGAGCGGAUGAGUUGCGAACGGGUGAGUAACGCGUAGGUAACCUGCCUGGUAGCGGGGGAUAACUAUUGGAAACGAUAGCUAAUACCGCAUAACAGUAGAUAUUGCAUGAUAUCUGCUUGAAAGGUGCAAUUGCAUCACUACCAGAUGGACCUGCGUUGUAUUAGCUAGUUGGUGAGGUAACGGCUCACCAAGGCGACGAUACAUAGCCGACCUGAGAGGGUGAUCGGCCACACUGGGACUGAGACACGGCCCAGACUCCUACGGGAGGCAGCAGUAGGGAAUCUUCGGCAAUGGACGGAAGUCUGACCGAGCAACGCCGCGUGAGUGAAGAAGGUUUUCGGAUCCUAAAGCUCUGUUGUAAGAGAAGAACGAGUGUGAGAGUGGAAA